GGACGCGGCCGAGGCGUCUUUCUGCCGCCGCCGCUGCCCGCCCGCUCUCGCCGCGCCCCCUGCCCCGUCCCCCCGCGCGCCCCUCACCCCGCGCUCUCGCGUCCCCGCUCCCCUUCCCCCAUCCGUUCCGGGCGCGCGCCACGGGGCCCAGGCGCGCGCCGGCCGGCACGGGGCGCGGGGGCAGGGUGGGCGUUCUGGCCUCGGCGCCUGACCCCAGCCCUCGCCCGGCCCCACGGCGCGGCCGCCAGCUUAGCAUUGUGUUCCCUACAAGAGAGAAUGGAGAGAAAUAAUGAGGAUAGGAAUCCAGUGACAAGUUUCUAAACAAGCCUUCACUUGUACCAUUUCCCAUCCUGAAGCUCUCUAGGGGACCCCAGGCACCAAUCAACCUGAUUGACUUACAAAAUGCACUCUUUUCACACCAGAGAUUCCACCAAAUAUUUAUUCACCGUAUCAUGAGCAUACACUUGAGAAUCAGCUCUCCAGUCUAAUCUGGGCUCCAUCAUCUGACGUGGGUGUGACCUUGUCCAAGUUGUUUAACUUCUCUGGAUAGUUCUUGGUUAAAAGCAAGCAAAACAAAACUAUGUCAGGUUCGGGCCAGGGAUUUAGCUCAGUGGUUUCCCCGCCUGCUGCUCAAGCACAAGGACCCGAGUUUGAUCCCCGGUACCAAAAAAAAAAACACUGCAUCAGGUUGUUAGUACUGAUUAGAUCAACAAACUGUGAAGGACACAGCAUAGUGCUGUCAACAAAGGUAUUCACUAAACACUGGUUUUUCUCCUGUUCCCUGCUUCAUAUGAGUUCCCUUAGAGUCUACCCCUGAAUUGUAUGUGUAUCUUAGUCAAUCUUAAAAGUCAUUCACCUUGAAUAUUUAAGGUAAAAUACAUUUUAAAUACUGCACAUGUUGUGAGAGUGAGUUUUUAAUUAUGAUCCUAAGGAAGUUACUUGUUUCACGAAAAUACUCAAACCUGUAGCUUCAAACUAAAUAGGUAAGAUAGUGUGUAGUGUUUUUAUACGUUAAAAAAAAAAUCUAUGCCUGUUACAAGCAGCUCUUCUAGAAGGUAGGUACUCAAGAAGACUCUCAGGUAUUGACAUCAGAGAAGAUUAACCAGAGUGCCUAGAAAUCUCACCUUGGGCCAGGCCGUACUGUGAUGUUGUAACACAAAGGACAAUAGAAUUCCGAGUAUCAAGUUUUAGAGAUAGUGUUUGGGAUUGAUCAGAACCCAUUAUAUUAGAGAAAUCUUUUCUAAGGUUGUAUUGGAUAUACUAGGAUUUGAUUCAUGCUUUCUGCUUAUUCUGUAUGGAAUAGUUUGAAUAUGUAAGAGGUAAUAUAAAAGUUGACAAACUUGUUUUACUUGUUUCUCAGUGUUGCCAGCGUGUUGCAUGUAUAACACUGAUAUUUAUAGUAAACAUGUUGUUUUAAAUAUUAGCUAGUUCCAUUGAGUUAACCCUAUUAAAUCCUGUGUUCCUAUGCUAUAGUCAUUUAAUGAUUUCUUCCUCCAGUAAGUUGAUAAGUAAUUUGAAAUAGCUUUUAGUGCUGAUAAAUUAUUUGAAAGCAUUGAAGGCAAAAGCAAAGACCUUAUUUUUUAGGAUAAAGUGAUCCUACAACAGACAGAAUAAAUGAGAUCUCUAUCUUACUAUGUGACCUUUUACUAAUUUUUAAAGCAUUCUGGUCCCAUAUUUUUUGUAUGUAAGUGAAAGAGUUAUAGUCUUGUAAAGUCCUUGUCCUAUGUGACUACUUCUAGUUUUUAAUUUUAUGUGUACUUGUGUGUGUCAGUAGGUUAUAGUAUUCAGCAGAGUGAGUUCUAGACUAAACCACCUGAACGCAUUUGUAAAGUUACCUAUCACAAAUUAUACUGAGGAUUUGAAUAGAGAAUCCAGAUAAAUCACUUAGCUCACUGCCACUCUGGAAAUAACCCAUUCUUGAAAACUCAGUUUAAGCCUCGAGCCCGAAUGGUGUUAGUUGUGGACCUUCAGGUAGAGUUGAUCUCUCUGCCAUCCGUGUGCCUUGUGUUCACAAUGUUAAGUUGCUAGCAUAGUGGCUGGUGCUAAGCUUACCACAGAUUCAUCUUCGUGUUUACCUUCUUCCUUAGAUAGUGAGCCCAUUGAGGACAAAGAUGGUUUUAUUCAUCUCCAUAAGUUCAUUGUCCAACAUGGUACAUUUUAAAAAUUAUUUUAUUAUUAUUAUUAUUAUUAUUAUUAUUAUUAUUUUGGUACCGGGGAUCGAACUUGGGUCUUUGGGCUUGCGUAGCAGGCGGCAAAACCACUGAGCUAAAUCCCCGGCCCCAUUUUUAUAAUUUUUAAAUGAGGUUCUUUCCCCUUCUCAGUGGAAGAUAAUUCUGGAGCAACAGUAACAAGUAGAAAUGUUCUAAAAAUAUCCAGUCAUGUUCUUGAAUCAUAUUUUUUUCUUUCCUUCCUCACACUUAUUUCCAUAUAAUAAGAAAGUAAUGAAGUGACUGCCAAAUGAAGGAAACUUUCCAUUAAUGAAAGUACUGUGAUCAGAAAUUGUAUAAGCCAGCAUAACAAUACUAUAGAAAAGUGUUAAUUUUGGAAUUAAAAGUCUUGGAUUCAUAAAAUUAAAAGUCUUGGGUUCAUGUUAUAGCCCUGUUACUUUCUAGCCAUAUGACACUAAUCAAGCUGUAUUAUCUCUGACUACAGAGUGGGGUUUAUUGUUGUUUGGUGAAUAAUGUUUAAUAUGAGAUAAUGUACUGUACUAGUACUGCACCUGGUAAAUAAAAGAUACUCUAAUAUUUCUAGAAUGGAGUUAGUUUUGGUUAAUACUGUACCCAUUAAAUUUGAGAGAAGCCAAAGGCCAGAGAUUUAGGUCAGUGGUGCCACUGCCUGCCUCACAAGCACAAGGUCCUGAGUUCAGUCCCUGGUACCAAAAAAAAAAAAAUUGAGAGAAACUAAGUUAUCUUACCACAUACAAAGUUGUUUCCUGCUGCUAGAAAUACUGUUUAAAUUAGUUGAUUCUCUAAACGGAACUAAAAUGUUAAAUGGUGACUGCUGUAUUUUAAUUCCAUUAUGCUAAUGUUGCAGGGAAGUCACAAAUAUCAAAUGGCAAAGGCAUACCUAACAGUUUAGUUGUGUAAUUAAAGACUUGUUUUCUGAAUCAAAGAGGGCAAGUCUCUCCUUUACACUACUGUCUUGCAGUUAGGUCACUGAGAAUUUGAGACAUGAGCUGAAAACACUAGAACCAUCAAAGUCUCUAAUUCAUUUUCUUAUGAAAGCUGGAAGUAUAGAGAAAACGAUCCUCAAGGUUAUUGACAAAUAAAAUUGGUUACUAGAUAUGCCUUUUAAACUAAUGAUCAUAGCAGAUAAACUGUAUUAUGUUACCUUUAAGAGUUUUGUCCACUUUAUUCCCAGUUACCAUGUUUUAAAACAACCUCUUAAAAUGGACUACUUUUAAUUUCUCCUCAAUGUUUACUGAUUUCAUACUUUUUG
ensembl:lncRNA